GGAAGUCAAAGCUGCGUAGGGUACGACUGAACAUAGAUUUCAGUUGUUUUUUUAAAAAAAAGAUGGUUUUACUGGAUAUUCAUGUGACUUGAAGAGGCUGCUGCCUUUAUGGACGGAUAUAACAUCAGGCUGGUGGGACAGAGCGAUUGAGUCACCGGCUGAGCUUGUGGUGGAGCCUCCCCUCUGCACACUUGGAUCUGCAGAGCUGUGUACACUCACUCAUCCUUCCUCCGUCUGCUCGGUGCCUGUGAUUCCUCUGAGCCAUGAGGCAGACUCCAACACUCAGAAGCCUUCUCUUUUUCUUUGGGCUGUAUGGGAUCUGUUCAGGACUUCUACAAGGUGAGUUUCACACACACACACACACACACAAACAUAUCGUAAAUAUUUUAGUGAAUUCGUAUGUUUUUCGUAAUCCAUUUUAUAUUUCUUGUUUUUGGCUUUUAUGUCUAACUUAGUCCGUAGGGCUGUACAAAAGGA